ensembl:lncRNA
AACUAAUUGUUUUUACGUUAAUCAGAUUUAAAAAAUACUAAGUGUUCCUAUAAAAUAUACACAACACUUAGAUGUGGAUACUUCCUAAAAACAGGCAGUGCAUGAGCACUAGUGAGGGGCACUGUGACUGCAUUGAGUGCUUGCCACUGUGAGGUGAAUAAAGUCUGUACUGGCUCCUGGUUGCAACAUAAAAUAACACAGUGGCUAUCUUGUAUUAGGAGAUGUCCUGGACUCACAAAGAAACACAGGGCUAUGGAAUGAAGGUAAAUAUAAAAUACUACAAGCGGGAGUCACAGAUACAUUGUCUGUGAAAGUGAAACUUAGGAGCUUUGUGAGUCCUGUUGUACGCUUUUAGACACAUUUAUAUGUCAAGGGACCAAAGUCACAUUUUCUACCGAUUAGAUCCUGAUCAUUCAGGGAUUACCAAGAUUCUGCUACCCACUGUAGUUAAUAAACAAAAAGCAAACUGGUCUCUGUUCUAUCUCAUGUACUCAGGCGCAACUUCUCCAGAUUUAAAGAAAAAGAAAAAAGAAAAGGAAAAAAAAGCCCUGUCUCUACACCUCCAUUCCCAGGGCAAGCUCACUCUCCGGCACCAAGCUCUCUGGGGUGAUUUUUCUUCUAGAAGAGUCCACUGGGACAGGACUCCGAUUCUCCCCAGUCGCCAAGGAUGGGGUCAUGGCGCCCCGGACCCUCCUUCCGCUGCUCUGGGGAGCCCUGGUCCUGACCCAGACCUGUGCCGGCUUCCACUCCUUGAGGUAUUUCCACACCGCCACGUCCCGGCCCGGCCGCGGGGUGCCCCCGCUUCAUCUCCGUGGGCUAAGUGGACGACACGCAGUUCGUGCGGUUGGACAGCGACGCCGCGAGUCCUAGGAUGGAGCCGCGGGAGCCGUGGAUGGAGCAGGAGGGGCCGGAAUAUUGGGAGAAGACAGGGACCGCCAAGACCAACGCACAGUUUACCGAAUGAACCUGCGGACCCUGAGCGGCUACUAGAACCAGAGCGAGGCCUGGCCAGGGUCUCACACCAUCUAGAGGAUGCCUGGCUGCGACAAGGGGUCCGACGGGCGCCUCCUCCGGGAGUAUCACCAGCUCGCCUACGACGGCAGGGAUUACAUCGCCCUGAACCAGGACCCGUGAUCCUUGACCGCCGCAGACACGGCGGCUCAGAUCACCCAGCUCAAGUGGGAAGCUGCCGGCGAGGCGGAGGUUCAUCCUCACAGGGGUAGGUACCUAUUCGAUGUGGUGUGUUUUUCCUCUCUACUCUCAGACCCUCAGCCAGUAUCACUAUUGGCAUUCCUGAUCCACUGGCUCAGAAUUUCAGUGCAUUAUCUGCCCGCGGGACACACCUCAGAGGGAAAGGGAUGAAGCGUGGGCCAUGACCAAGGCAUCCCCUGGUCAUAUCACCACCUGCACCUCCCAGGGGCUGCCAGCCACACCGAGUCAUGGACAGGUCUCCACAGACACAACUUAGUACCAGCUUGGAUGAAACCCUCUGAGGAACGGGGGCCAGCUUUCAGGAUGUGCUGCGCGUAUUAAAUCAAAGACGUCUCUAUGGUGCUGUGUUUACAGAAGGAAGAACACGUGGGUCCAAAAACCAUGAAAUUGAAACAGGUAUGGCUCCAUGUCUCAUCCCUUCUACUCACCCUCAGGGUGAUUUUGCACUUCUCAUCUCCAAUAUCGGGGCUCUGCAGGGGAGGAGGUCCUGGUUUCCCAAAGGGGGCACCCUGGCAAGGAGACAAAUGAGAGUCCAUGGACCUACAUCUUAUGGUUGCCCCCAGGGAUGUUUGAAUAGUAUGUGUCCAGACACAAGCAGGUGAGAAGAGGAGGAGGCAGGGCUGCUAUCACACAAGGAAGGCAGAAGUGUGUGUGGAAAUAAGAGAUCCACGUGGAGGCCUUAUGCUUCCCCUUGUCCUGUGGUAAGUUUGAGCAGAAUCAUCCAGCAACCGCAGCCUGAGAGGGUUUGAUACUCAAGAGCCCAGAACCCUCAGGAAGGAAGGACUGAGUGAUACACCUAGAUAAUGUCCCAAGGCUCCGCUCCUGUGCUCUGACAUCCUCAGAAGGGUUAGUGCAGAAGCCCUGCUUCCCAUGGGCUGUUCCCAGCCAGUGACCGGUCACAGCAGGCGCACUAAGGCAGGCCAUUACUGGGAGACACGGGACUCCUCUGAUGGCCAACUGUGGCUGGAGGACUCCUCCAUGGCCUUGCUCAACCCUCCUUAGAUUGCCUGUGCUCUAGGAUGUGUCGAACAAACCUCCUCUCCUUCUGUCCAGCACUUGGUGUCACACUCGCAUUGUGGUCUGCUGCCUUUUCCUGGGAUUUCUGGCUCGCUUCCAUAUUCCCUUACAGGUGUGUCCCCUCAUAAAAUGCCCAGACUUGAAGCUCAUCUUGGCAUCUGCU